rnacentral:rRNA from 1 species
GUGAGGAAUAUUGGACAAUGGGCGCAAGCCUGAUCCAGCCAUGCCGCGUGCAGGAAGACGCAUCUAUGGUGUGUAAACUGCUUUUGUACGGGAAGAAACACUCCCUCGUGAGGGAGCUUGACGGUACCGUAAGAAUAAGGAUCGGCUAACUCCGUGCCAGCAGCCGCGGUAAUACGGAGGAUCCAAGCGUUAUCCGGAAUCAUUGGGUUUAAAGGGUCCGUAGGCGGUUUAAUAAGUCAGUGGUGAAAGCCCCUCGCUCAAAGAUGGAAAGGCCAUUGAUACUGUUAGACUUGAAUUACAAGGAAGUAACUAGAAUAUGUAGUGUAGCGGUGAAAUGCUUAGAUAUUACAUGGAAUACCAAUUGCGAAGGCAGGUUACUACUUGUGGAUUGACGCUGAUGGACGAAAGCGUGGGGAGCGAACAGGAUUAGAUACCCUUGUAGUAC